ACAUUUUUCUAUCGUUUAUUAUUAAAAAAAAUAAUAAUAAAUAUUUUUUCCCUCCCUCCUUUUCUCUCUCUCUCUCACCCUCUUCUCUCUUCUCCUUCUCCUUACCCCCCCAUUUCUGCUUCGUCGGCGCCGUCUCUUUCUCCUUCCCCUUCAUCGUUCCUCACUACAACAAGAAUGAAAAGUCGACUCACCUCAUUGCUGCCGCCAAAACAGCCUCCUGUCGGUGUCUCUUCGCCGAUCUGAUGCCGAAAAUGGACUCUUGGACCCCGAACCUCAAGGCAGCCUUCCCCGCUCAUUUCCCUCCGCCGGCAGUAGUGGGUGAGCCUCGCCGAAGCCGAAACUUUCCAGCCCCGAUCCGGUGACUUCCGGCUAGUUUCAGGCGAAGACAUUUGCAUAUUUGGACUCCCCGCAACUCAAACUUCGCGUAGGCGCUUCCGGAUCCGAAACCGGACAUCAUUGGCGGUACCAGCUUCCAAAGCCUGGUGUUUUGUGGACGAGCUAUUCAGACUUUGAAAAUUAUUUUAGAAUUAUUAGACAGUAUUUGUUGUAUUAAUUAUUAGUUAUAAUUAAGUAAUUAAAUUAUUUAAUUAAUUAAUAGCCUGAUUUUAGAAUUACUGCAGAUUAAUUACAAAAUGAGUUAACAUUCUGUUAUGUAAAUAUUUGUAUAAUGUAUCAUGAAAUAGGAUUAUUUUGCCGGACUGAUAAUUUUUAUAUUGUAAUUUGGGUUAUAUUGCAGAGUCGGAAAAAUAAUGCAGUUUUGGUGGCUUGACUCCCGUUAAGUAUUUAUAAAAUAUUUAAAAUUUUUCUAGCAGGUUCUGGACCUAUUAUACGGGGAUACACGUCCAUAUUUUAAGGGAAAUUUUGCCGAAUUUUCGAUAGAAUUUCCGAAUCAGUGUUUCUUACACAGUAUAAUCUAAGAGUCUAAACCUACGAGAGAUUAUGAAUAUCUUAUUAAUUGAAUUAUUUUCAUGAAUAGCUAAUUCGUCCGUUUAGCCAACUCUACCCGAGGUGUAGGAGCAGACUGCGGAGUGCCGCAUAACUGUGACAGCUAGGUUCUCCGUCGACUUUCUUUUUUACAGUCCAACUUCAUUUUCUCUUUCGGUCCUAUUGUAAUUAAAUCUUAACUUUUGUAUUUUAAAUUAUUUAGAAUUGUAGACUUUCUGCAGUAGUGUACUUGGUAUCUUAUAUUUUAAUUUAGUCUGUUAAAAGUUAUGGGAUACUUACUAGUAAUCUAGCUGAAAGAUUAAUUUAA